rfam:Trichobilharzia regenti genome assembly, scaffold: TRE_scaffold0015723
AUCCAACUGACGAGUCCCAAAUAGGACGGAAUGCGCAUCCUGGUAU